rnacentral:rRNA from 1 species
CCUACGGGGGGCAGCAGGUCAGGAUCUUGCGCAAUGGGCGAAAGCCUGACGCAGCGACGCCGCGUGGGGGAUGAAGGCCUUCGGGUUGUAAACCCCUGUCGGGUGGGAAGAAAAGCACGAGGGCGAACAGCCCUUGUGUCUGACUGUACCACCGGAGGAAGCCCCGGCUAACUCCGUGCCAGCAGCCGCGGUAAUACGGAGGGGGCGAGCAUUAUCCGGAUUCACUGGGCGUAAAGGGCGUCUAGGCGGCUUGGCAAGGCGGGGGUGAAAUCCCUGGGCUCAACCGGGGAACUGCGUCCGAUACUGGGGGGCUUGAGGGCGGGAGAGGGAGGUGGAACUUCUGGUGUAGCGGUAAAAUGCGUAGAUAUCAGAAGGAACACCGGUGGUGAAGACGGCCUCCUGGCCCGUUCCUGACGCUGAAGCGCGAAAGCUGGGGGAGCGAACGGGAUUAGAUACCCCUGUAGU